rnacentral:rRNA from 1 species
AACGAACGCUGGCGGCAGGCUUAACACAUGCAAGUCGAACGGGUGUAGCAAUACAUCAGUGGCGCACGGGUGAGUAACGCGGAGGAAUAUGCCCGUUGGUACGCAACAACCUCGGGAAACUGAGGGUAAUACCGUAUAAUACCGUCGGAUCAAAGAUUUAUCGCCCAAGGAAUAGCCCGCGUUAGAUUAGGUGGGUGGUGAGGUAAUGGCUCACCAAGGCUGUGAUCGUUAGCGGGUCUGAGAGGAUGAGCAGCCACACUGGAACUGAGUAACGGUCCAGACUCCUACGGGAGGCAGCAGUGAGGAAUAUUGGACAAUGGAGGCAAGUAUGAUCCAGCCACGCCGCGUAAAUGAUGAAGGCCCUAGGGUUGUAAAGUUCUUUAAGUUGGGAAAAUAAUGAUGGUACCAACAGAACAAGCUCCGGCUAACUUCGUGCCAGCAGCCGCCGUAA